UAGGGAAUCUUCGGCAAUGGACGAAAGUCUGACCGAGCAACGCCGCGUGAGUGAAGAAGGUUUUCGGAUCGUAAAACUCUGUUGUUAGAGAAGAACAAGGACGUUAGUAACUGAACGUCCCCUGACGGUAUCUAACCAGAAAGCCACGGCUAACUACGUGCCAGCAGCCGCGGUAAUACGUAGGUGGCAAGCGUUGUCCGGAUUUAUUGGGCGUAAAGCGAGCGCAGGCGGUUUCUUAAGUCUGAUGUGAAAGCCCCCGGCUCAACCGGGGAGGGUCAUUGGAAACUGGGAGACUUGAGUGCAGAAGAGGAGAGUGGAAAUCCAUGUGUAGGGGUGAAAUGCGUAGAUAUAUGGAGGAACACCAGUGGCGAAGGCGGCUCUCUGGUCUGUAACUGACGAUGAGGCUCGAAAGCGUGGGGAGCAAACAGG
rnacentral:rRNA from 1 species